UCUGUUAGUGAUCCUGUUUAUUGUGAGGAUAAUAAGACAUAGGACAGACAGGCUGGACCAGACAUCAUAUUACAAAUGAACAGCAAAUCAUAGUAAUACAGAAGCUAGCUAUUUAGUGCAUUAUGUAUUAUUUGGAGGUUGGGAGUGCUUAUACCAUGUUAGAAUCAGAUUUACACAAUAUUUUUAGGACCCAUCCGAUAGACAACAUAACAACUUGUUUUAUUGCCCAGAGGUUGUGGAUUGUUUACGGUCUGACUUCAUUAAUUUCAGAUGAUUGCAUUUGUGGUGCUGUAAACAUGUUGCCAACAUGGAAGUUGUAGAGUGCCCUCUGAUGGACAAACAUCAACAGUUGUAACAUACUUGAGAGACAAUAUGUCUGAAGCUUUUUAGUCAUCCAGGUCAUCGUAGUCUCAGGAGCUUGGAAAGAAAAACAUCUGGACUUCGUUAAGUUGGUUGAAGACGUUUCACCUCUCAUCCGAGGAGCUGCUCAGAUGAGAGGUGAAACAUUUUUCUUUCCAAGCUCCUGAGACUAUAUUUGAAUAUUUGAGAGGCAUUUGUUGUGACUCUGUUACUUUUUAAUAUUUACUUAUCAGGCAAUAAAUGAAAAAUGCAUGUUAAAACUGGCUGAUAUAUCAGUUCCAAAUAGUGGGUAGAUAUUUGUACACAAAACAGACAGUGUUAUGUUCAAUGCUGUCUUGCAUUAACUGGCAGCAUUUUCAUGCAUUUAUCUACUACUUCUGAGAAUAGGUAUCACUUCCAUAUUUACAUAGAUAAGACAAACUGUAAAGAUACUUUGAGCUUCCUUAACAAUUGGCAGAUAACUCUGACUGACUCAAUCCCCCAAAGCAGGGGUCUGCAACCUUUAACAACCAAAGAGCCACUUGGACCCAGUUUCCACGCAAAAGAAAACACUCGGAGCCGCAAAUACUUUUUGAAAUCUAAAAUGAAGAUAACACUGCACUCUGACUCUUGGUGGCGCUGUCACUUGGUGUUCGCUCGCUUUGUGGUAGAGUAUCACUUCCUGUUCCUGCUCAAACACAGUGGUGUUUCUGAGUAGCUUUUCUGCUUAGCAAUUUAAUUUAAAUCUUUUGAUACAUCCCUUUUUCAUAGUAUAAUCUUAACGUGCUUCAUCUGAAUCACCCUUUCUGUGUACUCACUACCUAAUUUAUAGCCAAAGUAUUCACUCACUGUCUCUUUACUGUUUCGCUAGCUUAGCUUAGCUCGUAGCCGACUCGUUAGCACCAUGGCUACUUCACCUGUCCCUCCUGCACUUUCCUGCUCAUUGUGUCAGAUGUUUAGUUACUCCUCGGCCUCCUUUAGCAGUAAUGAUACCUGUAAUAAAUGUAGCAUAUUUGCAGCUCUGGAGGCCAGGAUUACUGAAUUGGAGACUCGGC
ensembl:lncRNA